AUGCGGAAUGAUUGGGCGUAAAGCGUCUGUAGGUGGCUUUGUAAGUCCGCCGUGAAAUCCCAGGGCUCAACCCUGGACAGGCGGUGGAAACUACCAAGCUGGAGUACGGUAGGGGCAGAGGGAAUUUCCGGUGGAGCGGUGAAAUGCGCAGAUAUCAGGAAGAACACCCGUGGCGAAGGCGGUUCUCUGGGACGGUACUGACGCUGAGACGCGAAAGCGUGGGGAGCGAACAGG
rnacentral:rRNA from 1 species